UGAGGCAGGAGAAUCACUUGAACCUGGGAGAUGGAGGUUGCAGUGAGCUGAGAUUGCACCAUUGCACUCCAGCCUGGGUGACAGCGAGACUCCGUUUCAAAAAAAGAAAA
rnacentral:miRNA from 1 species